GACGAGCGCUGGCGGCGUGCUUAACACAUGCAAGUCGAGCGAUGAAGCUUCUUCGGAAGUGGAUUAGCGGCGGACGGGUGAGUAACACGUGGGUAACCUGCCUCAUAGAGGGGAAUAGCCUUCCGAAAGGAAGAUUAAUACCGCAUAAGAUUGUAGCUUCGCAUGAAGCAGCAAUUAAAGGAGCAAUCCGCUAUGAGAUGGACCCGCGUCGCAUUAGCUAGUUGGUGAGGUAACGGCUCACCAAGGCGACGAUGCGUAGCCGACCUGAGAGGGUGAGCGGCCACAUUGGGACUGAGACACGGCCCAGACUCCUACGGGAGGCAGCAGUGGGGAAUAUUGCACAAUGGGGGAAACCCUGAUGCAGCAACGCCGCGUGAGUGAUGACGGUCUUCGGAUUGUAAAGCUCUGUCUUUAGGGACGAUAAUGACGGUACCUAAGGAGGAAGCCACGGCUAACUACGUGCCAGCCGCCGCAGUAA
rnacentral:rRNA from 1 species